rnacentral:rRNA from 1 species
AUACGGAGGAUCCGAGCGUUAUCCGGAUUUAUUGGGUUUAAAGGGAGCGUAGGUGGAUUGUUAAGUCAGUUGUGAAAGUUUGCGGCUCAACCGUAAAAUUGCAGUUGAAACUGGCAGUCUUGAGUACAGUAGAGGUGGGCGGAAUUCGUGGUGUAGCGGUGAAAUGCUUAGAUAUCACGAAGAACUCCGAUCGCGAAGGCAGCUCACCGGGCCGGAACUGACACUGAUGCUCGAAAGUGCGGGUAUCAAACAGGAUUAGAUACCCUGGUAGUCCGCACAGUAAACGAUGAAUACUCGCUGUUUGCGAUACACGGUAAGCGGCCAAGCGAAAGCGUUAAGUAUUCCACCUGGGGAGUACGCCGGCAACGGUGAAACUCAAAGGAAUUGACGGGG